rnacentral:rRNA from 1 species
UUGGAGGGCAAGUCUGGUGCCAGCAGCCGCGGUAAUUCCAGCUCCAAUAGCGUAUAUUAAAGUUGUUGCAGUUAAAAAGCUCGUAGUUGAAUUUCGGGAUCAAUAUGUCGGUCGUGCUUUUGGUACGUACUGGCAUCAUUGGUUUCUCCCUUCUGACAAACCAUGAUGUCAUUAAUUUGGUGUUAUGGGGAGUUAGGACUGUUACUUUGAAAAAAUUAGAGUGUUUAAAGCAGGCAUUAGCUUGAAUACAUUAGCAUGGAAUAAUGAAAUAGGACGUUUGACCCUAUUUUGUUGGUUUCUAGGAUCGACGUAAUGAUUAAUAGGGAUAGUUGGGGGCAUUAGUAUUCAAUUGUCAGAGGUGAAAUUCUUGGAUUUAUUGAAGACUAACUACUGCGAAAGCAUCUGCCAAGGAUGUUUUCAUUAAUCAAGAACGAAAGUUAGGGGAUCGAAGACGAUCAGAUACCGUCGUAGUCUUAACCAUAAACUAUGCCGACUAGGGAUCGGAUGAUGUUAAUUUUUUAAUGACUCAUUCGGCGCCUUACGGGAAAC